rnacentral:rRNA from 1 species
GAUGAACGCUGGCGGCGUGCCUAAUACAUGCAAGUCGAGCGAACGGACGAGAAGCUUGCUUCUCUGAUGUUAGCGGCGGACGGGUGAGUAACACGUGGAUAACCUACCUAUAAGACUGGGAUAACUUCGGGAAACCGGAGCUAAUACCGGAUAAUAUUUUGAACCGCAUGGUUCAAAAGUGAAAGACGGUCUUGCUGUCACUUAUAGAUGGAUCCGCGCUGCAUUAGCUAGUUGGUAAGGUAACGGCUUACCAAGGCAACGAUGCAUAGCCGACCUGAGAGGGUGAUCGGCCACACUGGAACUGAGACACGGUCCAGACUCCUACGGGAGGCAGCAGUAGGGAAUCUUCCGCAAUGGGCGAAAGCCUGACGGAGCAACGCCGCGUGAGUGAUGAAGGUCUUCGGAUCGUAAAACUCUGUUAUUAGGGAAGAACAUAUGUGUAAGUAACUGUGCACAUCUUGACGGUACCUAAUCAGAAAGCCACGGUUAACUACGUGCCAGCAGCCGCGGUAAUACGUAGGUGGCAAGCGUUAUCCGGAAUUAUUGGGCGUAAAGCGCGCGUAGGCGGUUUUUUAAGUCUGAUGUGAAAGCCCACGGCUCAACCGUGGAGGGUCAUUGGAAACUGGAAAACUUGAGUGCAGAAGAGGAAAGUGGAAUUCCAUGUGUAGCGGUGAAAUGCGCAGAGAUAUGGAGGAACACCAGUGGCGAAGGCGACUUUCUGGUCUGUAACUGACGCUGAUGUGCGAAAGCGUGGGGAUCAAACAGGAUUAGAUACCCUGGUAGUCCACGCCGUAAACGAUGAGUGCUAAGUGUUAGGGGGUUUCCGCCCCUUAGUGCUGCAGCUAACGCAUUAAGCACUCCGCCUGGGGAGUACGACCGCAAGGUUGAAACUCAAAGGAAUUGACGGGGACCCGCACAAGCGGUGGAGCAUGUGGUUUAAUUCGAAGCAACGCGAAGAACCUUACCAAAUCUUGACAUCCUUUGACAACUCUAGAGAUAGAGCUUUCCCCUUCGGGGGACAAAGUGACAGGUGGUGCAUGGUUGUCGUCAGCUCGUGUCGUGAGAUGUUGGGUUAAGUCCCGCAACGAGCGCAACCCUUAAGCUUAGUUGCCAUCAUUAAGUUGGGCACUCUAAGUUGACUGCCGGUGACAAACCGGAGGAAGGUGGGGAUGACGUCAAAUCAUCAUGCCCCUUAUGAUUUGGGCUACACACGUGCUACAAUGGACAAUACAAAGGGCAGCGAAACCGCGAGGUCAAGCAAAUCCCAUAAAGUUGUUCUCAGUUCGGAUUGUAGUCUGCAACUCGACUACAUGAAGCUGGAAUCGCUAGUAAUCGUAGAUCAGCAUGCUACGGUGAAUACGUUCCCGGGUCU